GACGAACGCUGGCGGCGUGCCUAAUACAUGCAAGUAGGACGCAGUUGCGAACGGGUGAGUAACGCGUAGGUAACUGCCUAUUAGAGGGGGAUAACUAUUGGAAACGAUAGCUAAUACCGCCUACUAGUAGAUGGACCUGCGUUGUAUUAGCUAGUAGGUAGGGUAAUGGCCUACCUAGGCGAAGAUACAUAGCCGACCUGGGAAGGUGAUCGGCCACAAUGGGAAUGAGAACAGGCCCAGACUCCUACGGGAGGCAGCAGUAGGGAAUUUUCGGCAAUGGGGGGAACCCUGACCGAGCAACGCCGCGGGAGUGAAGAAGGGGUUCGGAUCGUAAAGCUCUGUUGUUAAGGGAGCGGUACUUAACCAGAAAGGGACGGCUAACUACGUGCCAGCCGCCGCGGUAAUAC
rnacentral:rRNA from 1 species